rnacentral:tRNA from 1 species
GGAGAGAUGGCUCAGUGGUUAAGAGCACUGACUGCUCUUCCAGAGGUCCUGAGUUCGAUUCUCAGCAACCACA